rnacentral:rRNA from 1 species
GGGCGUGGCAGUUCGUCCGCACCUCGCGGUGUGUGUACUGGAUUUCUGCGUCCAUCUUCGGGGAGAACAUAUCUGACAUUAAGUUGUCGGGUAUGGGACCCUCGUCAUUUACUGUGAGCAAAAUAGAGUGUUCAAAGCAGGCUUAGGCCGUUGAAUACAUUAGCAUGGAAUAAUAAAAUAAGACCUCGGUUUAUUUUGUUGGUUUAUAUUCCAAGGUA